CGAACGCUGGCGGCGUGCUUAACACAUGCAAGUCGAACGCGAAAGGGACUUCGGUCCUGAGUAAAGUGGCGCACGGGUGAGUAACGCGUAGAUAACCUGUCUUCAUGUCUGGAAUAAUACGCCGAAAGGGGUACUAAUACCGGAUAUUCUUGCUUUUCAUAAGUUAUGCAAGCGAAGGUGGCCUCUGCAUAUGCUACUGCAUGAAGAGGGGUCUGCGUACCAUUAGCUAGUAGGUGGGGUAAUGGCCUACCUAGGCGACGAUGGUUAGCGGGUCUGAGAGGAUGAUCCGCCACACUGGCACUGGAACACGGGCCAGACUCCUACGGGAGGCAGCAGUGAGGAAUAUUGCGCAAUGGGGGAAACCCUGACGCAGCGACGCCGCGUGAGUGAGGAAGGCCUUCGGGUCGUAAAGCUCUGUCAAGAGGAAAGAAGUGUACAAUGGCUAAUACCUGUUGUAUUUGACGGUACCUCUAAAGGAAGCACCGGCUAACUCCGUGCCAGCCGCCGC
rnacentral:rRNA from 1 species